rnacentral:lncRNA from 1 species
AAUCACUUCGGCAGCGUAAUGCCUUCUGCCCAUCCAGUAAAUAUUACCAAAACAGGGAUCUUUCUUAUCAGAGCGCUGCUAGGAAUAGAGGAUUUCGUCUCUGCCUUUGCUAUUUCCACGCUUACCACUGAAUCAAUAUUGUUUACGCAGAAACAGCAUUAUAGGAUCUGGAGCUUUAUGCUGAACAGAAUGUCCACUGGAAACCCACUGGCUUUAGAUAUCCAGCAGCCACAGUGGGAUCACGUAAAUGAUGACAUGGUGCCAUCAGCAGAUGAACAUGAACAGACUUGUGCAUACUCAGCAGCUCUUCACAGGGGUGGCUCUAAGCUGGAGGCUACAGAUGAGGACCUGAGAGAUCGUCUUCCUGCUGUGUGACCUCAACCCCUUCCCGUUGAGGGGAGAACAGAGCUUGUAAGGAAUGUCUGCAGACAGUUGUCUUCUCCCAUUCUUCUUGUCUGUCUUUCUAUCUGAAAGAUAGAAAGGCUCCAGAUUAUAUUAAUAGAAAGUCUGUAGAAUAUAGAAGGCUACAAAAUAUAGAAGAAUGUAGAAGGCAACAGAAUAUUGAAGGCUAUAUUAUAUGAAGGCCCAGAUUAUAAAUUCAAAAACUAUACAAAAUCUUUAUUGUAAGUUUGGAUUUCAGUCGUCAUAACUCUACUCCACAGACAAGAGCUUACUGAGAUUGCUCUAUGAAAAUGCUCCUAACAUCCAGCACAUAACUGUAUUUAGAAAUUGUUAUUAUGAGUUGCUGUUUACUAACUAUAUCAUUAAGUCACAUUGUUGAAGCCAAGUAUGGAAUUGUUACCUGAAUUUGAUAGACUAAAGCUAGCAUGGAAAUAUCUAUAUUUAUUGCAGUUCCAUCUUUGGUUAUUUUCUGCUUUUAGAUGUGCUUUUAUUUCCUUUACUUCUGCCAAACUCUGAGCGGGAACCCUGGGUAUGUCUUAGAUGCAUCAGGCAAGAGCAAUGGAGGGCUGAAAGUGGAAAUUCAGUGUUAUGUAACUUAAAAGUCUGUUCAUCAGUAUUUGUUAACAGAUCACACUUGCUUUAUUCUCCUGACUAGGAAUCUUAUAUUUUUUUUUAUAUUUUGCCUACUGGUGUUAGCAUAUGUAAAUGCUGUUUGGCUCAAUUUCUGACUAGUAAGCUUAUUUGUGCUGGUGAAAGAUAAUGUCUCAUCCUACUUGCAAUGAAUAUAGCCCCAUGUGUUUCUGUAUUUAUU